GUUAGUGGUCGAUCGUGAUAUAGCACUGCUAAACAAAGGUCUCGACUUAUUGCCGGACAAGUAUAAAAUACCACCUAAUUGGUGGAAUGUGAAGAACAAUGGUAUGAUCCAAACAGACAACGGAUUCUGGAAGUUGAAUGAUUAUGUGCCGGAUCCUCCUACUGAAGAUGAUGUUGAGGGGAUCAUCCUCUAACUGGAAAACAGUAUUCUGUCGCCAGCAUGAUACUGAUCUUAUUCAAAAUUAUGGCAAUUUCCUAAUAGCAGUAAGUUGGCAAUAAGCCAAGC
rnacentral:lncRNA from 1 species